rnacentral:rRNA from 1 species
AAAAGUAGUGAAGCGUGUGAGCCAUGUGCCGAGAAAAGCUGCUAUUGUGUAAUGCGUGCCCGUACCGUAAACCGACACAGGUGGAUGAGGAGAGAAUCCUAAGGCCGACGGAGGAAGCAUUGUUAAGGAAUUCGGCAAAAUGACCCCGUAACUUCGGGAGAAGGGGUGCCUGCGAGAGCAGGCCGCAGAGAAUAGGCUCAAGCAACUGUUUAGCAAAAACACAGGUCUAUGCGAAACCGAAAGGUGAAGUAUAUGGGCUGACGCCUGCCCGGUGCUGGAAGGUUAAGAGGAGAGGUUAGCGUAAGCGAAGCCUUGAAUUUAAGCCCCAGUAAACGGCGGCCGUAACGAUAACGGUCCUAAGGUAGCGAAAUUCCUUGUCGGGUAAGUUCCGACCCGCACGAAAGGCGUAAUGAUUUGAGCACUGUCUCGACAAUGCAUCCGGUGAAAUUGAAGUACCAGUGAAGAUGCUGGUUACCCGCGCCAGGACGGAAAGACCCCAUGGAGCUUUACUCCAGUUUGAUACUGGGAUUCGGUACUGCAUGUACAGGAUAGGUGGGAGACGAAGAAGGAUGGACGCCAGUCUGUCCGGAGUCGCUGUUGGGAUACCACCCCUGUAGUACUGGGUUUCUAACCAGUUGCCACGAACUGGCAAUGGGACAAUGUCAGGCGGGGAGUUUGACUGGGGCGGUCGCCUCCGAAAGGGUAUCGGAGGCGCUCAAAGGUUCCCUCAGAAUGGUUGGAAACCAUUUGAAGAGUGCAAAGGCAGAAGGGAGCUUGACUGCGACACCGACGGGUGGAGCAGGUACGAAAGUAGGACUUAGUGAUCCGGUGGUAUAAAGUGGGAUUGCCAUCGCUCAACGGAUAAAAGCUACCCUGGGAUAACAGGCUUAUCACUCCCAAGAGUUCACAUCGACGGAGUGGUUUGGCACCUCGAUGUCGGCUCAUCGCAUCCUGGGGCUGUAGCAGGUCCCAAGGGUUGGGCUGUUCGCCCAUUAAAGCGGUACGCGAGCUGGGUUCAGAACGUCGUGAGACAGUUCGGUCCCUAUCCGGCGCGGGCGGAGGAUAUUUGAGAGGAGCUGUCCUUAGUACGAGAGGACCGGGAUGGACGGACCACUGGUGUAUCUGUUGUCGACCAACGGCAUGGCAGAGUAGCCAAGUCUGGAAGGGAUAAACGCUGAAGGCAUCUAAGCGUGAAGCCCCCCUCAAGAUGAGAUAUCCCUCCUUCGGGAGUAAGACCCCUUGAAGACUACAAGGUAGAUAGGGCGGAGGUGGAAGCAUGGCAACAUGUGGAGCUGACUGUUACUAAUAGGUCGAGGGCCU